AUUCCUCUCUGAUAUGGAAAUGCCAGUGAAAUCAUGCAGCUCUUUCCCCACACCACAAGAAUAGCCAAAUCUGAAUGACAUGUGCAUCCCGGAGCAUCUGCCUGGCUGAGUGGGUGAGGGUACGUUCUCUGUCAGCCUCCAUCCUGAAGUCCCACCACGGCAGAGGCUGAGUUAGUUUUGAGGUUCAGAUAGCCUAUGUGGGCUACUGAGGUCCUUACUUAGGAGAUUCCAAAAAAGAGAUAUGACGGCCAGCAUUUCUUCAGUCCUCACUGACAAAGAAGACGAUGCAUCUUUAUGGUGAUCUCAGCGCUUCUGAUGCCAUUUGGAAAUUCGGAAACGGCUCAAUUAUAUCUGUGAGCCAUAACUUAAUCAUCUCUGAAGCUGUUUCCAGGAGGACAUUUUAAAUUUCUGUUAUGAUUAUCAGUGGCAUAUACAAGAAAUAACCUAAGGAGAAGUCUGGCCUUUCUCAGCAAUCAGGAUACAAAUUCUUGACCUUGAAGAUGGGAGAGAGAACAGAAUGCUUCUUGGUGCCACUCUAAGCUGGAUGAAAUUUGAAAACAUCCCCCAGGAUGAAUAGGGGAACAUGUAUGGAAAUUUGCAUUGCUUUUAGCAAAAUCUAGGACUAAUUUGGAGCGGAUAGCCUGGUACUCCAGAAUAAGAGAAAAGCAAGUGUGGAACUUUGGAACCCCUGGAGAUGUUGCCUGGGGACAGGGCUCAGAUGCAAGGUUCACAUCACUGGCCAAAGAAGGCAAGAUGAUUCUGAGUUGAGACCAGAACAAAAGUGGUCAUCAUCCUUUCCUGUUCAGUGACUGUUUACCCCAACCUCCUUUGCAUUUGCCCUUUUAAUUUAGGAUCCUGAAAGUGUGAUUCUGUUCCCCCCCUCUCGUAAACUUCAGUAAAACAAGGAAGUAAACAAGUGUUUAUUGAACCAACUUGAAGGAAUGAAAGAAUGGUGGUCUCCUUAAUCAUUUCAGGAUACUUGAAUAUUAACCCAAAUGAAUUUCUAAUUAGUGGACUUUGAGACAGUGUGAAGAAAGUGUCUGGGAGCAAGAGCCUCUUUCUAAGAGCAAAGGGGCUGGGGUUACAAACUCAUUUCUUUUCUCCCCAGCUGCCUCGUCCACCUCUUUCCACAUAUUAUCCUUCUUGGCAGGGAGCAGAGGGGAUAGGGUAUCCAUCAACGCCACCAUUUUCCUCUUCCAUCAGAUCACCAUUUCCUCUUCCUUGUCUGGUGCCUGAAACCCUCACUGUCCGUCUCCAUCCAUCAGUGAAAGGGUGGGAUGGCAGAAAGUGGGAAUUCCCUACUGAACACUUCUACUUAGAUAUCCUAGAGGGACUAUAAAUACCAUCUGAAAAAUAAACUCCCUACAUCCAUACCUGCUCCUUAUGUUGAAGAGCCUCUGUUAUUAUGGUAUCAUCACCCAGUUGGCCAAGUGAAGAGUUUGGAGAUACUGGGUUCCUUGGAUGGUAGUUAAAUUACCAUGAGGACAUGCAGGGGGGGUUGUAUGCAGCGUGAAGAGUGAGAAGAAAAGGUAUUUUGGAAAACAGAGAUUAGGUUUCAGCCCGGAACAUGUGGAGAAAGGCAGGAGCUAGGGUCUGAAGGGCAGGCAUGGGGCGCCAGAGUCCACAGUAAGGCUCGGAAAACCUCAGCUAGAGCGGUGGCUAGAAGGUGGGUAAAGUGAAGAGAAGAGGGGCAACUACAAGUGUCUUCCCUGGAUGGGGGGCACUUCUCUAACCCUCCAGACUUGAGAGGCAUUCUCACUUCCUUUCCUGCUCAGCUUCCAGUGACAAUGUUUCCAUGCUGAAACACCCUAAUGCAUGUGAUUGUUUCAGAGACAAGUUCUAGAAAGGACAUGGUCCCAUCUCCUAUUGAACCCAGUCCAACAAACAAACCGAAAGUAAUCAGAACUAAUUCAUAUCUUUGCUCAGUCUCUCAGGAAACAGGCAAAGGUGGAGCUGGGAUAGACAAAAUAUGUUUUCAUGCCCAAUAAAAGUAGCAAAUUGUUGCACAAAUCCAUUCAUCCUUCAUUCACCACUUUUCAUACUCCUCACUUCCUAAUAUCUUCUGAAAAUCCCCACACUCUCAACUGCCAACUUCAGUACCCACUCACUUUCUAAUAUAAACCUUCCAGCUUCUCCAGAUUGCCCCCAGCUAUUUACUUACACCAAAAUUCAUAAUAAGGUCCAGGUGAAUGUGUGAGUCUGCGUCAGUGGGAGGGACCCUCCCUGAGUCAGGGAAAUGGGCUGAUUCACUCACAUUGUUUCUGCCUGCAAUGUUCUUCCUUCAGCUAUCUGUGUGGCUUUUUUUAUAAGAAGAAGAAGGAGAAGAAGAAGGAGGAGAAGGCAAACUUAAAAAGCCACCAGAACGGAAGCUCUGUGACCUUAGACACUUUGUACCCCACUGCCUGAAGUGAUAGCUGGCAUGUAAUGAACACUCAACGAAUAUGGAAUGAAUGAAUGAAUGAACAUUCUAGUAUCAUGCAUCCCUGCUCAUCAGAGGCUAAUUACAUUGUAUACAACCACACUUGUCAACCCUACACUUGGAAUGAUGGUGCAUAUUAAAAGAGUCUUCAAGACUAAUACUCAACCUGAAAACAUCUUCCUCUUACCAAGACAGCACUUCCUAGGAAAACAAAUUUUUCAGUUCGAGAAGGAAGCCUGCGGUUCUUUGUGUACAGAAGCUUGUUACCACAUGCUGGACUUUCUCCCUGUUGUGGACAUAGUUCUCACGCAGCCCCAGGAUUCCUUAGCAUCUGGGAGGAAAGCUGGUCAGUAGAUACCAGAAGAUGCUUGGAGGAGUGGGCCCAACCUGGUGCUGAAGUGGGGGCAGUUGAGAUACUUCUCUAUCCCAAUAAGGCUUCAAUGCAGGGGAUGCCAAUUCUAAAAGCAAUGCUAGCAGGCAGCUGCCUGCUGUUCAAAUAAAAUCCUGUUGCCACAUGAA